rnacentral:rRNA from 1 species
GUGCCAGCAGCCGCGGUAAGACAGAGGUGCCAAGCGUUAGGCGGAAUCACUGGGCUUAAAGCGUGUGUAGGUGGAUGUCUAAGUACCUUGUGAAAUCCCAUGGCUCAACCAUGGAACUGCUCGGUAUACUGGAUGUCUUGAGCCACUUAGGGGCUACCGGAACAAAUGGUGGAGCGGUGAAAUGCGUAGAUAUCAUUUGGAACGCCAAUGGUGAAAACAGGUAGCUGGGAGUGUGCUGACACUGAGACACGAAAGCCAGGGGAGCGAACGGGAUUAGAAACCCCCGUAGUCC